rnacentral:rRNA from 1 species
AACAAACGCUGGCGGCGUGCCUAAUACAUGCAAGUCGAACGGGGAAAGCUUUCGGGUGAGUACUAGUGGCGCACGGGUGAGGAACGCGUGGAUAAUCUGCCUUAGAGUGGGGGAUAACUAGUCGAAAGAUUAGCUAAUACCGCAUAAGACCACAGGAGCUGCGGCUCUAGGGGUCAAAGGUUUUUCGCUCUAAGGUGAGUCCGCGUAAGAUUAGCUAGUUGGUGAGGUAACGGCUCACCAAGGCGACGACCUUUAACUGGUCUGAGAGGAUGAUCAGUCACACUGGAACUGAGACACGGUCCAGACUCCUACGGGAGGCAGCAGUAGGGAAUAUUGCACAAUGGAGGAAACUCUGAUGCAGCGACGCCGCGUGAGUGAUGAAGGCCUUCGGGUCGUAAAGCUCUGUCGCAGGGGAAUAACACAAUGAAGGUACCCUGUAAGAAAGGAUCGGCUAACUUCGUGCCAGCAGCCGCAGUAACAC